UAGGGAAUCUUCCACAAUGGACGCAAGUCUGAUGGAGCAACGCCGCGUGAGUGAAGAAGGGUUUCGGCUCGUAAAGCUCUGUUGUUAAAGAAGAACGUGGGUAAGAGUAACUGUUUACCCAGUGACGGUAUUUAACCAGAAAGCCACGGCUAACAACGUACCAG
rnacentral:rRNA from 1 species